rnacentral:tRNA from 1 species
AUGAUUGUCUGGAGAGACUCCAUCCUGAACUUUCUGACUGCCAGAAAGCGAUUCAGCUUGGUGCAAAUCCAAGUAAAAGCU